CGAUGCCAGGUCCAGCAGAUCACGCUGCACUCGCGUGUUUUAAAAUGUUUACACCCGAAACUCCACCACGUCCGCAGAAGCAAAAACGUUUGCAAAAUUACCGACGUGAGUGAUAAGAGAGAAACCCCUGGCAAUGAGAACAAGGCAAACUGUGUUUUCUGUUGUUCAUGGACUGGCUGAAGUAAAGCAGCAUCAGGAGACCAACAUGUAAGAACCAUGAGAACAGAGAGGACCCAACCAGCAGGUCACAGUUUAUCAUCAUCUAAUCAUCUCCUGAAGUCCAUAUGACAUCCACCAAGCACUGGAACACAUCUCCAAAGGUCUGCCGGGCCAGCUCAGCUUCCCCUCAGAAGAAGUUCCACCAGAUGAAGGAGCCUUUUGAGAGGCAGCUGGCAUCGUGAUUGGACUGUACUUUGGUCUGUUCCAGUCCAGCUUCAGCUCCAGAGACGGCAGGCAGGACGAGUCAACGGAGGCCGGGUGGACGAAGACCAAAGAACUACAGACUCUUCACAACCUGCUCAAACUCUUGGUACAGGACCUCACCACACGUGUCAAGAAGGUUUCCAUCUCAUUUCUACUCUGAAGCUCACCUUCUCCUGCUCAAACUGCUAACAAAUGUUUCUGCUGCUCUAAAGUCUGGUCUCCAGAACUUCCUAAAAACUCUCAAAGUCUCUUCUGCUGCAGGUUGCUUUGUAGAACUGUUGCAGAAAACCUCACUAAACCACAUGGAGGGGCCUCAAGAUAGUCGUCCAAAUGAAACCAUACAAAAACCAAACUAGCACAACCCAAACGCUAAAGUCUCCUGCAGCCUACCAGAGAACCUCUGAGAACAGAGAAUCAGGACAGGAACUCUUACCUUCUGGACAACCAACGUUGGUUCUCAAACAAGAAUACAGAAUGUGUCUGACCAAAAACCUCUGAAGACUCACUACAGCCACAACUCAGCUGCAUCAAAUCCACUAAUCACUGCACACAUUAGCACCAUGUGCUGACUGUGGCUAAAGAACCACAUUUACCAAGACAACUAUCCAGUACAAAGCCCUAAAACACACCAAGAAACACAUUAAAGAUGAUUUUACUGCUGGAAGCUGCAAGCCAACGCCUAAAGAACAAACUAAAGCAAUGGAGCCAAACCCAGUUCACUGGUGAAGAGAAACAGAGGAAAUGUUUGGCUGCAGCCAAAUAAAGCAGGAAGACACUGAGCUGCUCAGGUGUUCCUGAUAACACCAAGCAGCCACCUGGACAGCCAAUAGGAACACAGCUUACUGGAAGUCCAGAGGGCUGGCUUAGUGAAGGAAAUUUAGUUUAAAGUUGAAGCAGAAAGUUAACAAAGAAAGUUGAAAACCACCUUCUGAUACCUGAAAUCUCUGAGUUUUCACACAAAGAACGCCUGAACAUGUCAAACUGGUUCCAUAGUAGAACCAUCAUUGUAAAAACGUCAUAGUAUGGUGUGUUGC
ensembl:lncRNA